AACGAACGCUGGCGGCAGGCCUAACACAUGCAAGUCGAGCGAACCGCAAGGUUAGCGGCGGACGGGUUAGUAACGCGUGGGAACGUGCCCAAAGGUACGGAAUAGCCUCGGGGAACUGAGAGUAAUACCGUAUGUGCCCGAAAGGGGAAAGAUUUAUCGCCUUUGGAUCGGCCCGCGUUGGAUUAGGUAGUUGGUGGGGUAACGGCCUACCAAGCCGACGAUCCAUAGCUGGUUUGAGAGGAUGAUCAGCAACACUGGGACUGAGACACGGCCCAGACUCCUACGGGAGGCAGCAGUGGGGAAUCUUAGACAAUGGGGGAAACCCUGAUCUAGCCAUGCCGCGUGAGCGAUGAAGGCCUUAGGGUUGUAAAGCUCUUUCACCGGUGAAGAUAAUGACUGUAGCCGGAGAAGAAGCCCCGGCUAACUUCGUGCCAGCCGCCGCCGUAAAAC
rnacentral:rRNA from 1 species